UACGUAGGGGGCAAGCGUUGUCCGGAAUCAUUGGGCGUAAAGAGCGCGUAGGCGGCCCAGUAAGUCCGCUGUGAAAGUCAAGGGCUCAACCCUUGGAUGCCGGUGGAUGCUGUCGGGCUAGAGUGCGGGAGAGGCGAGUGGAAUUCCUGGUGUAGCGGUGAAAUGCGCAGAUAUCAGGAGGAACACCGAUUGCGAAGGCAGCUCGCUGGAACGUAACUGACGCUGAGACGCGAAAGCGUGGGGAGCAAACAGG
rnacentral:rRNA from 1 species